AGGGUUUGAUCAUGGCUCAGAACGUACGCUGGCGGCACGCCUAACACAUGCAAGUCGAACGAAGUAGUAAUACUUAGUGGCAGACGGGUGAGUAACAUGUAGGUAUCUGCCCUUUGGCCUGGAAUAACACGAGGAAACUUGUGCUAAUACCGGAUAAGUCUUUACGGAGAAAGCUUUAUGCACCAUUGGAUGAGCCUGCACUUGAUUAGUUUGUUGGUGGGGUAAUGGCCUACCAAGACUGUGAUCAAUAGCUGAUUUGAGAGGAUGAUCAGCCACAUUGGGACUGAGACACGGCCCAAACUCCUACGGGAGGCAGCAGUGGGGAAUCUUGCACAAUGGAGGAAACUCUGAUGCAGCGAUGCCGCGUGAGUGAAGAAGGCCUUUGGGUUGUAAAGCUCUUUCGUCGGGGAAGAAAAUGACUGUACCCGAAUAAGAAGGUCCGGCUAACUUCGUGCCAGCAGCCGCGGUAAUACGAAGGGACCUAGCGUAGUUCGGAAUUACUGGGCUUAAAGAGUUCGUAGGUGGUUGAAAAAGUUGGUGGUGAAAUCCCAGAGCUUAACUCUGGAACUGCCAUCAAAACUUUUCAGCUAGAGUAUGAUAGAGGAAAGCAGAAUUUCUAGUGUAGAGGUGAAAUUCGUAGAUAUUAGAAAGAAUACCAAUUGCGAAGGCAGCUUUCUGGAUCAUUACUGACACUGAGGAACGAAAGCAUGGGUAGCGAAGAGGAUUAGAUACCCUCGUAGUCCAUGCCGUAAACGAUGUGUGUUAGACGUUGGAAAUUUAUUUUCAGUGUCGCAGCGAAAGCGAUAAACACACCGCCUGGGGAGUACGACCGCAAGGUUAAAACUCAAAUGAAUUGACGGGGACCCGCACAAGUAGUGGAGCAUGUGGUUUAAUUCGAAGAUACGCGCAGAACCUUACCAACACUUGACAUGUUCGUCGCGACUUUAAGAGAUUAAAGUUUUCGGUUCGGCCGGACGAAACACAGGUGCUGCAUGGCUGUCGUCAGCUCGUGUCGUGAGAUGUUGGGUUAAGUCCCGCAACGAGCGCAACCCUCACUUUUAGUUGCCAUCAUUAAGUUGGGCACUCUGAAAGAACUGCCAGUGAUAAGCUGGAGGAAGGUGGGGAUGACGUCAAGUCCUCAUGGCCCUUACGUGUUGGGCUACACACGUGCUACAAUGGUAUCUACAACAGGAAGCAAAACCGCGAGGUUAAGCAAAUCCUUAAAAGAUACCUCAGUUCGGAUUGCACUCUGCAACUCGAGUGCAUGAAGCUGGAAUUACUAGUAAUCGUGGAUCAGCGUGCCACGGUGAAUGCGUUCCCGGGUCUUGUACACACCGCCCGUCACACCAUGGGAGUUGGUUCUACCUUAAGGCAAGGUUUCAAACCCUUGACCACGGUAUAGUCAGCGACUGGGGUGAAGUCAUAACAAGGUAACCGUA
rnacentral:rRNA from 1 species